rnacentral:rRNA from 1 species
UGGGGAAUAUUGCACAAUGGGCGAAAGCCUGAUGCAGCAACGCCGCGUGAGUGAUGAAGGUCUUCGGAUUGUAAAGCUCUGUCUUUUGGGACGAUAAUGACGGUACCAAAGGAGGAAGCCACGGCUAACUACGUGCCAGCAGCCGCGGUAAUACGUAGGUGGCGAGCGUUGUCCGGAUUUACUGGGCGUAAAGGGUGCGUAGGCGGAUGUUUAAGUGAGAUGUGAA